rnacentral:rRNA from 1 species
UACAUGGGGUGCAAACGUUGCUCGGAAUUAUUGGGCGUAAAGCGCACGUAGGUGGUCUGUUAUGUCGGAUGUGAAAGCCCUCGGCUCAACUGAGGAAGUGCAUCCGAAACUGGCAGGCUUGAGUAUGUAAGAGGGUCGCGGAAUUCCCGGUGUAGAGGUGAAAUUCGUAGAUAUCGGGAGGAACACCCGUGGCGAAGGCGGCGACCUGGGACAAUACUGACACUGAGGUGCGAAAGCGUGGGGAGCGAACAGG